rnacentral:rRNA from 1 species
GGGUUGUGAGGUUAAGCGACUAAGCGUACACGGUGGAUGCCCUGGCAGUCAGAGGCGAUGAAGGACGUGCUAAUCUGCGAAAAGCGUCGGUAAGGUGAUAUGAACCGUUACAGCCGGCGAUGUCCGAAUGGGGAAACCCAGUGUGAUUCGUCACACUAUCGUUAACUGAAUACAUAGGUUAACGAGGCGAACCGGGGGAACUGAAACAUCUAAGUACCCCGAGGAAAAGAAAUCAACCGAGAUUCCCCCAGUAGCGGCGAGCGAACGGGGAGCAGCCCAGAGUCUGAAUCAGCUUGUGUGUUAGUGGAACGGUCUGGAAAGUCCGACGGUACAGGGUGAUAGUCCCGUACACCAAAAUGCACAGGCUGUGAACUCGAAGAGUAGGGCGGGACACGUGGUAUCCUGUCUGAAUAUGGGGGGACCAUCCUCCAAGGCUAAAUACUCCUGACUGACCGAUAGUGAACCAGUACCGUGAGGGAAAGGCGAAAAGAACCCCGGCGAGGGGAGUGAAAAAGAACCUGAAACCGUGUACGUACAAGCAGUGGGAGCACCUUCGGGUGUGACUGCGUACCUUUUGUAUAAUGGGUCAGCGACUUAUAUUCUGUAGCAAGGUUAACCGUAUAGGGGAGCCGCAGGGAAACCGAGUCUUAACUGGGCGUUAAGUUGCAGGGUAUAGACCCGAAACCCGGUGAUCUAGCCAUGGGCAGGUUGAAGGUUGGGUAACACUAACUGGAGGACCGAACCGACUAAUGUUGAAAAAUUAGCGGAUGACUUGUGGCUGGGGGUGAAAGGCCAAUCAAACCGGGAGAUAGCUGGUUCUCCCCGAAAGCUAUUUAGGUAGCGCCUCGUGAAUUCAUCUUCGGGGGUAGAGCACUGUUUCGGCUAGGGGGUCAUCCCGACUUACCAACCCGAUGCAAACUACGAAUACCGAAGAAUGUUAUCACGGGAGACACACGGCGGGUGCUAACGUCCGUCGUGAAGAGGGAAACAACCCAGACCGCCAGCUAAGGUCCCAAAGUCACAGUUAAGUGGGAAACGAUGUGGGAAGGCACAGACAGCCAGGAUGUUGGCUUAGAAGCAGCCAUCAUUUAAAGAAAGCGUAAUAGCUCACUGGUCGAGUCGGCCUGCGCGGAAGAUGUAACGGGGCUAAACUGUGCACCGAAGCUGCGGCAGCGACACUAUGUGUUGUUGGGUAGGGGAGCGUUCUGUAAGCCUGCGAAGGUGGCCUGUGAGGGUUGCUGGAGGUAUCAGAAGUGCGAAUGCUGACAUAAGUAACGAUAAUGCGGGUGAAAAGCCCGCACGCCGGAAGACCAAGGGUUCCUGUCCAACGUUAAUCGGGGCAGGGUGAGUCGACCCCUAAGGCGAGGCCGAAAGGCGUAGUCGAUGGGAAACAGGUUAAUAUUCCUGUACUUGGUGUUACUGCGAAGGGGGGACGGAGAAGGCUAUGUUAGCCGGGCGACGGUUGUCCCGGUUUAAGCAUGUAGGCGGAGGUUCCAGGUAAAUCCGGUACCUUUUUAACGCUGAGGUGUGAUGACGAGGCACUACGGUGCUGAAGUAACAAAUGCCCUGCUUCCAGGAAAAGCCUCUAAGCAUCAGGUAACAUUGAAUCGUACCCCAAACCGACACAGGUGGUCAGGUAGAGAAUACCAAGGCGCUUGAGAGAACUCGGGUGAAGGAACUAGGCAAAAUGGUGCCGUAACUUCGGGAGAAGGCACGCUGAUAUGUAGGUGAAGCCCCUGCGGGUGGAGCUGAAAUCAGUCGAAGAUACCAGCUGGCUGCAACUGUUUAUUAAAAACACAGCACUGUGCAAACACGAAAGUGGACGUAUACGGUGUGACGCCUGCCCGGUGCCGGAAGGUUAAUUGAUGGGGUUAUCCGUAAGGAGAAGCUCUUGAUCGAAGCCCCGGUAAACGGCGGCCGUAACUAUAACGGUCCUAAGGUAGCGAAAUUCCUUGUCGGGUAAGUUCCGACCUGCACGAAUGGCGUAAUGAUGGCCAGGCUGUCUCCACCCGAGACUCAGUGAAAUUGAACUCGCUGUGAAGAUGCAGUGUACCCGCGGCAAGACGGAAAGACCCCGUGAACCUUUACUAUAGCUUGACACUGAACAUUGAGCCUUGAUGUGUAGGAUAGGUGGGAGGCUUUGAAGCGUGGACGCCAGUCUGCGUGGAGCCAACCUUGAAAUACCACCCUUUAAUGUUUGAUGUUCUAACGUUGGCCCCUUAUCGGGGUUGCGGACAGUGUCUGGUGGGUAGUUUGACUGGGGCGGUCUCCUCCCAAAGAGUAACGGAGGAGCACGAAGGUUAGCUAAUCCUGGUCGGACAUCAGGAGGUUAGUGCAAUGGCAUAAGCUAGCUUGACUGCGAGCGUGACGGCGCGAGCAGGUGCGAAAGCAGGUCAUAGUGAUCCGGUGGUUCUGAAUGGAAGGGCCAUCGCUCAACGGAUAAAAGGUACUCCGGGGAUAACAGGCUGAUACCGCCCAAGAGUUCAUAUCGACGGCGGUGUUUGGCACCUCGAUGUCGGCUCAUCACAUCCUGGGGCUGAAGUAGGUCCCAAGGGUAUGGCUGUUCGCCAUUUAAAGUGGUACGCGAGCUGGGUUUAGAACGUCGUGAGACAGUUCGGUCCCUAUCUGCCGUGGGCGCUGGAGAAUUGAGGGGGGCUGCUCCUAGUACGAGAGGACCGGAGUGGACGCAUCACUGGUGUUCGGGUUGUCAUGCCAAUGGCAUUGCCCGGUAGCUAAAUGCGGAAGAGAUAAGUGCUGAAAGCAUCUAAGCACGAAACUUGCCCCGAGAUGAGUUCUCCCUGAGACUUUAAGUCUCCUGAAGGAACGUUAAAGACGAUGACGUUGAUAGGUCGGGUGUGUAAGCGUAGCGAUACGUUGAGCUAACCGAUACUAAUGAACCGUGAGGCUUAACCUUACAACGCCGAAGGUGUUU